GGGGGGCACCCCUGAAAUUCCGCCCUGGAGGAGUGGCCUCACCCUAACCCCGGCCGUGCCUAAUGAUAAGGCCCACCUCUUACGGCCUUCGGCCGUCGAGUGAAAUAAAUGUUGGAGGUAAUGCGCCUAAAGCCCUCAGCCCUCAGCUCUCCGCCGAAGUUGGGUUAGGAAGGAGGAAGGGAGAGGUAAAUGCUGACCCCGCAGGCGGCAGUCUGUGCCUCGGAGAGAAACUUUAUCGCAACCUUGCCGGGGGCCUUGACGCCCGUCCUCCCGCAAGAGCACCCCGGCAGUCACCCGUGCCCUCUGGUGUCCUGCCACCCCGAGCCCGACCUUCCCCCUUUACCCCCGCGCGGGGCCAGUAACCUCCUAACUGCGUCUUCUCUGUUUCGGGCUGUCGUGCUCAUCACGUUUGCGUCGUUUCUUCGCUCCACAAACGUUUACUGAGCGCCUUCCACACGCCAGGCACCAGACUAGCGCCGGCAAACGGGGAUAAGUACUGGGGAGGGGUCCCAGCCCUCAGUGAUGGGAUUUCAGAGGGGGAGAUAAAGGAUUGCCCAGAAGGGUGGUGAGUGGAAUAGUUGAUAUAAACAACGGGGGUGCGACGAAAUACAUAGGAGGGCUGCUCGUCACGUAUGGGGUGAGUGCCCAGGGCCCUUAAUUAAGGGAGGCUUCCUGGACGGGUGACACCCAAGCGGAGUCCUGACAACCUGCGUCAGGAGUAGCCAGGCGAGGAGGAGGUGAAAGGAAUCCACGUCCCGAGCAGAGAGGCAGCUUUCCCUGCACAGCACAGGACACGGUCCGUGCACAGAAGCCACAGGAGACGCAGGCACAGGGGCUGGGGAGAAUCCUUGCCGGGCCCUCGCCAUCCACGCGCCGCCUCCCUCUGCCGGGUGUCUGGUGUCAGCCUCCCGCCCGGCAGAGGAACUCCAGCCCCUGCUCCCGGAAGCGCCUCCAGGCCUUCGGCUUCCCUGACUCGGAAUGGGCCCCUCGUCCGGCGGGUACGAGGCCGGUCUCCCCGCCCGCUGGUGACGAAGUAAAGGCCCGGCGCCGCCCGGGCUCCUGCCCUGGGACCUCGUCUUUCUCCAGGAAAAGGUGGACCGCUCUCCGCCGAGCGGUCUCUUCCACAGACCCCUCUCGCCUUCGCCCCCAGUCUCCUUCGGUUCUGUCUUCGCGCUGGCUGGGUAGAAACCAGGAAGUCGCCCCCAGCGGAGCCCCGGCUCCCCGAGGCAGAGGCGGCCCCGGGGGCGGAGUCAACCGCGGAGGCC
rnacentral:lncRNA from 1 species